UUUAUUGGAGAGUUUGAUCCUGGCUCAGGACGAACGCUGGCGGCGUGCCUAAUACAUGCAAGUCGAGCGGACCUGAUGGAGUGCUUGCACUCCUGAUGGUUAGCGGCGGACGGGUGAGUAACACGUAGGCAACCUGCCCGUAAGACCGGGAUAACUACCGGAAACGGUAGCUAAUACCGGAUAAUCAAGCCUCUCGCAUGAGAAGCUUGGGAAAGGCGGAGCAAUCUGUCACUUACGGAUGGGCCUGCGGCGCAUUAGCUAGUUGGUGGGGUAACGGCUCACCAAGGCGACGAUGCGUAGCCGACCUGAGAGGGUGAACGGCCACACUGGGA
rnacentral:rRNA from 1 species